CCCCCCCCCAGCGGAGGCUGCUUGCUGCGAAGAUUCCAGGCUUUCUCCCAUCCCCCACAGUGACCAGACCAGUUCUACAAACCUCGCCGGACCCACGGUGAAAGAUGAGAAAGCUGUCACUAUUUUUGAAGACCUAUACUUGACAACUGUAACAAGAUGUGGACAGAAGAGAUGAAGAAGUCCUAAAGAUUACCAAGCUGAAACUUAAGUCAACUUCUCAGGUUUAUCAAUCGUGUAGGCCUCUCAAAUAGUUGAAAGAGCUGUAACACAAUGGAAAACACUGCAACAGCAGUAGAACAGCAAAGUAUGAGACCGCAGGAAGUGAGGACUUGUGCAGAUGCAACGGAGGUGGGCAUUCAAACAAAGGAAAGAAUCUACUUACCUUCCACAGGCCUCAGGAACAGAAAAACAUCCAAGAUAUCCAACAAGAUCCUCUUCCCGCCACUGCCAACCCUUAAAUGAGAUCUGGGAAGGGGUGGAUCUUGGCUCCACCAUGCACUGCAUGCACCUGAGAUCCUCUGGGUUGGCUUUGCCUUCCUGCUAGGUGCUCAAUCACUGUUUCAAGCCAUGACUUAGCAUUUCUGCUAUACCACCUAUUUCUGACUGAACAUAUGAUUAUGAAAGGAUUCAGGCUGCAAAAACUUCCCCAGGUGUAUAAUGCCAGACUUUACUUCAAUAGAUUUUUUAUUUGUUUGGAAUUCUAUAUGUCUGUAUCAUGAUAUCGUGUAUUUGCAUCGUCCUUGUGACAAGAUAUAAUUCCAAGUUUCAGAG
ensembl:lncRNA